CAGAGCCAGAAGCAGUAUUCAGCACAAUUUUAAAUUGCGUUAUAAUGUGACACACGAGAUGAUGGGCUGGUGCUGGUGCUGCGACUCUCCCAAAACAUGCCAUUAGGGGUUGUACUUUUCACAACACUCAAGUGGUUACUCGAGGAUAUUCAAUAUCCUUAGCGAUCAACCCCUCUUGACUUUGACGACUGUUUUCAUGUACCUACUUCAGGAGGGCCUCUGGUAGACGUCGAACAAUUUGUUAAUGAGCAAAUUACAUGCAGAACAGUGGACACGCCCUCAAAGUGAUUCACAACCUCCCUCCCGUCCCCAUACAUUUUCCCAAGAAUUUUUGGGAAAUUCUUUCGAUGAUAAGGCAAACAACUAUAAAAACUGUUGAAGCGUAAAAGGAUGCCCCCAGAAUAUGCCUGGCAGGGUUGUCAAGUGUGCUCAGGGAACUGGGUUUGCCAUGUUUUCAUGAAAUAUUUUGCAUAUUUCUUUGAAUUUUUAGUGGAAUUAAUAUAUUUUAUAGGUCAUUCUCUUCUGCUAGGGUUGUCACAUCUUUUUAGUAUUAUAAUACUCUGAAACAUGAAAUCUAUUGCUAUUUUUCGUUCAAUAAAUUACGAAGAGAG